AAGAGUUUGAUCCUGGCUCAGGAUGAACGCUAGCUACAGGCUUAACACAUGCAAGUCGAGGGGCAGCAUUUCAGUUUGCUUGCAAACUGGAGAUGGCGACCGGCGCACGGGUGAGUAACACGUAUCCAACCUGCCGAUAACUCGGGGAUAGCCUUUCGAAAGAAAGAUUAAUACCCGAUAGUAUAAUGAAACCGCAUGGUCUUAUUAUUAAAGAAUUUCGGUUAUCGAUGGGGAUGCGUUCCAUUAGGCAGUUGGUGAGGUAACGGCUCACCAAACCUUCGAUGGAUAGGGGUUCUGAGAGGAAGGUCCCCCACAUUGGAACUGAGACACGGUCCAAACUCCUACGGGAGGCAGCAGUGAGGAAUAUUGGUCAAUGGGCGCAGGCCUGAACCAGCCAAGUAGCGUGAAGGAUGACUGCCCUAUGGGUUGUAAACUUCUUUUAUAUGGGAAUAAAGUUUUCCACGUGUGGAAUUUUGUAUGUACCAUAUGAA
rnacentral:rRNA from 1 species